GAGGUGGAAGUGCAGUAAUGUAUGGAGCUGACUGUCACUAAUCGGUCGAGGGCUUAACCA
rnacentral:rRNA from 1 species